rnacentral:rRNA from 1 species
UACGUAGGGCGCAAGCGUUGUCCGGAAUUAUUGGGCGUAAAGAGCUCGUAGGCGGUUUGUCGCGUCUGCCGUGAAAACCCGAGGCUUAACCUCGGGCUGGCGGUGGAUACGGGGCAGACUAGAGGUAGGUAGGGGAGAAUGGAAUUCCCGGUGUAGCGGUGAAAUGCGCAGAUAUCGGGAGGAACACCGGUGGCGAAGGCGGUUCUCUGGGCCUUACCUGACGCUGAGGAGCGAAAGCGUGGGGAGCGAACAGG